AUUGAACGCUCGCGGCAGGCCUAACACAUGCAAGUCGAGCGGUAGCACAGAGAGCUUGCUCUCGGGUGACGAGCGGCGGACGGGUGAGUAAUGUCUGGGAAACUGCCUGAUGGAGGGGGAUAACUACUGGAAACGGUAGCUAAUACCGCAUAAUGUCGCAAGACCAAAGUGGGGGACCUUCGGGCCUCAUGCCAUCAGAUGUGCCCAGAUGGGAUUAGCUAGUAGGUGGGGUAACGGCUCACCUAGGCGACGAUCCCUAGCUGGUCUGAGAGGAUGACCAGCCACACUGGAACUGAGACACGGUCCAGACUCCUACGGGAGGCAGCAGUGGGGAAUAUUGCACAAUGGGCGCAAGCCUGAUGCAGCCAUGCCGCGUGUGUGAAGAAGGCCUUCGGGUUGUAAAGCACUUUCAGCGGGGAGGAAGGCGGUGAGGUUAAUAACCUCAUCGAUUGACGUUACCCGCAGAAGAAGCACCGGCUAACUCCGUGCCAGCAGCCGCGGUAAUACGGAGGGUGCAAGCGUUAAUCGGAAUUACUGGGCGUAAAGCGCACGCAGGCGGUCUGUCAAGUCGGAUGUGAAAUCCCCGGGCUCAACCUGGGAACUGCAUUCGAAACUGGCAGGCUAGAGUCUUGUAGAGGGGGGUAGAAUUCCAGGUGUAGCGGUGAAAUGCGUAGAGAUCUGGAGGAAUACCGGUGGCGAAGGCGGCCCCCUGGACAAAGACUGACGCUCAGGUGCGAAAGCGUGGGGAGCAAACAGGAUUAGAUACCCUGGUAGUCCACGCCGUAAACGAUGUCGAUUUGGAGGUUGUGCCCUUGAGGCGUGGCUUCCGGAGCUAACGCGUUAAAUCGACCGCCUGGGGAGUACGGCCGCAAGGUUAAAACUCAAAUGAAUUGACGGGGGCCCGCACAAGCGGUGGAGCAUGUGGUUUAAUUCGAUGCAACGCGAAGAACCUUACCUGGUCUUGACAUCCACAGAACUUUCCAGAGAUGGAUUGGUGCCUUCGGGAACUGUGAGACAGGUGCUGCAUGGCUGUCGUCAGCUCGUGUUGUGAAAUGUUGGGUUAAGUCCCGCAACGAGCGCAACCCUUAUCCUUUGUUGCCAGCGGUUAGGCCGGGAACUCAAAGGAGACUGCCAGUGAUAAACUGGAGGAAGGUGGGGAUGACGUCAAGUCAUCAUGGCCCUUACGACCAGGGCUACACACGUGCUACAAUGGCAUAUACAAAGAGAAGCGACCUCGCGAGAGCAAGCGGACCUCAUAAAGUAUGUCGUAGUCCGGAUUGGAGUCUGCAACUCGACUCCAUGAAGUCGGAAUCGCUAGUAAUCGUAGAUCAGAAUGCUACGGUGAAUACGUUCCCGGGCCU
rnacentral:rRNA from 1 species